GACGAACGCUGGCGGCGUGCUCAACACAUGCAAGUCGAACGGUAAGGCCCUUCGGGGUACACGAGUGGCGAACGGGUGAGUAACACGUGGGUGAUCUGCCCUGCACUUCGGGAUAAGCCUGGGAAACUGGGUCUAAUACCGGAUAGGACCACUGCCUGCAUGGGUGGUGGUGGAAAGCUUUUGCGGUGUGGGAUGGGCCCGCGGCCUAUCAGCUUGUUGGUGGGGUGAUGGCCUACCAAGGCGACGACGGGUAGCCGACCUGAGAGGGUGACCGGCCACAUUGGGACUGAGAUACGGCCCAGACUCCUACGGGAGGCAGCAGUGGGGAAUAUUGCACAAUGGGCGCAAGCCUGAUGCAGCGACGCCGCGUGAGGGAUGACGGCCUUCGGGUUGUAAACCUCUUUCAGCACCGACGAAGCGCAAGUGACGGUAGGUGCAGAAGAAGGACCGGCCAACUACGUGCCAGCCGCCGCGGUAA
rnacentral:rRNA from 1 species